rnacentral:rRNA from 1 species
UGGGAACGUACCCUUUGGUUCGGAACAACCCAGGGAAAUUUGGGCUAAUACCGGAUAAGUCCGUAAGGAGAAAGAUUUAUCGCCAAAGGAUCGGCCCGCGUCUGAUUAGCUAGUUGGUAGGGUAAUGGCCUACCAAGGCUACGAUCAGUAGCUGGUCUGAGAGGAUGAUCAGCCACAUUGGGACUGAGACACGGCCCAAACUCCUACGGGAGGCAG